rnacentral:lncRNA from 1 species
UGAUUUUUGAGUGGAGCCAAUGAAAAAUUACAAAGGGCACUUGUUUUGUAGCACAUAUACAUCUCUAGUGGAAUACACCUUUGAAAAAAUACAUGAUGUUUGUUCCAGUUAGUGGGUAUAAAUAAAUACAGUGCUCAAAGAAGAAGGGAAUAUUUGGAAAGAUAUAUUGUUUGUGAAUAAAAAGUGAGUUAAAGAAAAAAAAAUGAAAGGUGCAUUGAUGUGUUAUAGUGUUUAGGGGAGUUAGUCAUUGUUCCUAAAUUCAUCCUACCAGUCCCUUAACCUACAUUACAACCUUGAAAAAAGUCCUAACUGAUUUUAGCCCAGCUAGUCUAAAUUAGUAGAGAUUUACAUUACGGGCAAGCUUAUGGUACUCAUUGCAUGCAUGUGAUUUCUAUUUUGAGAGUGAGCGCUUUCAUUGAUAUAUGUAAGUAUAUGAUUUGAAUGUGCUGAGUAAAUUCCAAAUCUCUCUUGUUGGUGUGAUGGUGAGGGCAAGUGACUUGUGAUGACAAAGCAAUUCUUGAUUUCAUUUUAGAGUAUUUGAGGAGCUUAAAUUAUUGAAUGGCACUUGAGAUUCACAUUUUGAGGCGAGGAUUGUUCAUUGCUAGAAGUGACAUAUACACAUUGUUCUAGGUGUAAUGCGUUAGGGUAAAUGGUUGAGGAAGAGAUCUUUAGAGCUAGUUAUAAUAUGAUAGUUUGAUUGCUAGAGGACUAGCAAUAUAUUAAGUGUGGGGUGUUGAUAAUAGGUGAAAUCUUGAUGAUUUAAUUAUUGUUUAUGCUUUUACUUGAUUAUAUUCCACGUAUGUAUUGUGAUUAAUCGAUAAAUUACGGGCUUUAAUAUUAAAUUGUAUAUAUUUCAGGUUAAGAAGCCUAUACUAUGAACAAUAUAGAAUUGGAAUCACUUUGGAGCAAUACAAAUCCAUCGGGGCUAAUUAUGGUGGAAGAGCAAGAAAACAAAACCAAGAAUUAAGCAUAACUGGACUAGCACGGUCAAAUGCGCGGCCGCUCUAGUCCAUAUCCGGAAAAUGGUAGUUGAGGGUUAUUUUUGUAAUGUCCUCUUAACCCCACUUAAUUUAGAUAAAGCAAAAACUCCAUUAGUGGAGUAGAUCAGAUUUAGAUUGGAGAAAAUUAUUUUUAGAGAGAGAAAGUGAAGAGAAACUCAAUUCUUGAAGUGAAGAGGAGAAGAAGAUACAAUCUUGAAGCAAG